rnacentral:rRNA from 1 species
GAAUCCCGUCUUUGGUACGGACCCCCAGGGCUUCUGUGAUGCGCUCUCGAAGAGUCGAGUUGUUUGGGAAUGCAGCUCAAAAUGGGUGGUGAACUCCAUCUAAAGCUAAAUAUUGGCGAGAGACCGAUAGCGAACAAGUACCGUGAGGGAAAGAUGAAAAGCACUUUGGAAAGAGAGUGAAACAGUACGUGAAAUUGUUGAAAGGGAAACGCUUAAAGUCAGUCGCGUCCGCCGAGACUCAGCCUCGCUCCGGCUCGGUGUACUUCUCGGCCGACGGGUCAGCAUCAAUUUUGCCCCUCGGAUAAUGGCGAGAGAAAGGUGGCACCCUCACGGGUGUGUUAUAGUCUCCCGUCGGAUGCGAGGGUCGGGAUUGAGGAACUCGGCACGUACCGUGCUUAGGAUGUUGGCAUAAUGGCUUUAAACGACCCGUCUUGAAACACGGACCAAGGAGUCUAACAUGCCCGCGAGUGUUCGGGUGGAAAACCCGUGCGCGUAAUGAAAGUAAAAGUUGGGACCCCUGUCGUGGGGGGCACCGACGCCCGGACCAGACCUUCUGUGACGGAUCUGCGGUAGAGCGUGCAUGUUGGGACCCGAAAGAUGGUGAACUAUGCCUGAAUAGGGUGAAGCUAGAGGAAACUCUGGUGGAGGCUCGUAGCGAUUCUGACGUGCAAAUCGAUCGUCAAAUUUGGGUAUAGGGGCGAAAGACUAAUCGAACCAUCUAGUAGCUGGUUCCUGCC